UACGUAGGUGGCAAGCGUUAUCCGGAAUUAUUGGGCGUAAAGCGCGCGUAGGCGGUUUCUUAAGUCUGAUGUGAAAGCCCCCGGCUUAACCGGGGAGGGUCAUUGGAAACUGGGAGACUUGAGUGCAGAAGAGGAAAGUGGAAUUCCAUGUGUAGCGGUGAAAUGCGCAGAGAUAUGGAGGAACACCAGUGGCGAAGGCGACUUUCUGGUCUGUAACUGACGCUGAUGUGCGAAAGCGUGGGGAUCAAACAGG
rnacentral:rRNA from 1 species